CUUCUCCCAUGCCAAAAGGAGAAGUGAUGACAUUGUUGGCAACAUUUUGUGCAAUGAUAUUUUCAUUCAAAUAAAUUCAUGUUAAAACAUUUGUUUUUCCAUUUAUUUUCCCUUUUCGCUUUUUGCAUGAAAUUGGUGAUCACAAAAAACCUUUAAAAACAAGAAUAAAAGCAAUCUUUUCAUCUGCAUAACGAUUGUCUUGUUUGAUUUUCAAAAAGCUUUUCAUAUCAAAAUCUUUAUGCAGGUUGUUUCUCAAACCCAUUAAACAUAAUGAUCGGACGUCAUCUCCCAAUUUUGAAUUCCCUGUAUUCGAAGCGGACGAAGAUGAUGUUGAAGGGAUUCCUGACGAGACUUCCCGACUUCUUGGGCAAGAAAAGAAGAUCACUCAGCUGCAUCUCGAGAAUCAGCAGAACAGCCAACUGGGGCAUUAAUCAAAAAAGAAAGAUCAAGGAAAAAAAGAAAAAAGAAAGAGGAGGGUGCAAAACCUAAUCAAAUCAAAAAAAAUCAAUCAAAAGCAAAAUCAAAAGCAAAAUCAAAAGAAA
rnacentral:lncRNA from 1 species